rnacentral:tRNA from 1 species
GCUGGCUCAGCUGGUAGAGCGUGUGACUUUUGAUCUCAGAGUCGUGAGUUCAAGCCCCACAGUGGGCA